UACGUAGGUGGCAAGCGUUUGUCCGGAUUUACUGGGCGUAAAGAGCGCGCAGGCGGUCGGAUAAGUCGAAUGUGAAAGCCCCUGGCUCAACCAGGGAGGGUCAUUCGAUACUGUUCGACUCGAAGGCAGGAGAGGGAAGUGGAAUUCCGGGUGUAGUGGUGAAAUUCGUAGAUAUCGAGAGGAACACCGGUGGCGAAGGCGGCCAACUGGACGAAUACUGACGCUGAGACUCGAAAGCGUGGGGAGCAAACAGG
rnacentral:rRNA from 1 species